rnacentral:rRNA from 1 species
UACAGAGGUCUCAAGCGUUGUUUCGGAUUCAUUUGGGCGUAAAGGGUGUGUAGGUGGCGCGCUAAGUCGGGUGUGAAAUUUUCGGAGCUUAACUCCGAAACUGCAUUCGAUACUGGCGUGCUUGAGGACUGGAGAGGAGACUGGAAUUCAUGGUGUAGCAGUGAAAUGCGUAGAUAUCGUGAGGAACACCAGAGGCGAAGGCGGUUACCUGGACAGUUCCUGACACUGAGACACGAAGGCCAGGGGAGCAAACGGG